GAUGAACGCUGGCGGCGUGCCUAAUACAUGCAAGUCGAGCGAACAGACGAGGAGCUUGCUCCUCUGACGUUAGCGGCGGACGGGUGAGUAACACGUGGAUAACCUACCUAUAAGACUGGGAUAACUUCGGGAAACCGGAGCUAAUACCGGAUAAUAUAUUGAACCGCAUGGUUCAAUAGUGAAAGACGGUUUUGCUGUCACUUAUAGAUGGAUCCGCGCCGCAUUAGCUAGUUGGUAAGGUAACGGCUUACCAAGGCAACGAUGCGUAGCCGACCUGAGAGGGUGAUCGGCCACACUGGAACUGAGACACGGUCCAGACUCCUACGGGAGGCAGCAGUAGGGAAUCUUCCGCAAUGGGCGAAAGCCUGACGGAGCAACGCCGCGUGAGUGAUGAAGGUCUUCGGAUCGUAAAACUCUGUUAUUAGGGAAGAACAAAUGUGUAAGUAACUAUGCACGUCCGGACGGUACCUAAUCAGAAAGCCACGGCUAACUACGUG
rnacentral:rRNA from 1 species